UCGUGACUAAAGCUGCUGCAGCAGCAAGGGACCUUACAGAGGUAAUCAUAUACAGUGACCAGGAGCAAUGCAUGCUUGGACAUCAAAAGCUGCAGCAAUGGAAUAAAAAUGCCUUUUGCUGGUAAAGAUGGUGACAACUAUUUAAACCACAGCAAACCACAUGAUGCUCAAGUGUGUGAUCGUAAUUGCUAAAAAAUGAAGGAUGUAGUUUUACACAUCAAUCCUAUCUCCUUGAGGUAUUCAAUGCAUGAUUAAAGAACUGAAAGAAGAUGCAACAGUGAACUGUGAAAUUCAAUAACAUUUUCAGUUCGCACAGUACAAAAAGCAACCACCCAUGCCUUUACUGC
rnacentral:lncRNA from 1 species